CCUCGCCCAGCCUCGCCCAGCUGUCCACCCGGCCGCAGGACUCGCUUGUGGCCCAGGCGGGCCACUCACAGUCACGCACCGCGAAAUGCCUACUGGGUGUCGCCCGCCGUCUUAGGCGCGGGGACACGGCGUGGAGGGACAGGCAUGGUCCCGGGCCUGGGGGACCGGAGUGCUGGGAGGGGCCAUCGCGGUGGCACCUUCGCACCCUCACCUCCUUCCAGCCUUAGCUCGGUCGGCCUCUGCGUUCACCGUACGAUGAGGAAACCGAGGCUCUGAACGAUCGGCUGGCGCUAGUAUCACACAGCUGAGGUUUGUCCGUGGCCCAGCUUCCCUCCCAAAGCCUGAGUAAUGUAGAAAAAUCGCAGCCCAGCAUAAACGAGUCAGCCUAGGGGCCACCCGGGAUCACGCUGGCAAGCGGAAUUCUUGGCUCAAUCACUCCGGCAAAUCUUUGAUCCUUUUGGCAUUUACCCUGAUCUGUGGUGUGAGGUAUGGAUUCAUCUUUGUUCUUCUUUCCAAUGGCCGAUUGUCCCAUUACCUUUAUCAAGAAGUAAGGUAGGAGCUGCAUCAAACUGGAAUUUCUUUGUUUUUGUCUUUGUAUUUAUAGCAACAUCAGCUCCCACUUUCCUGUAAAUGUGGUCCCAUCCACCCCCUCCCCCCAUUUACCUGUUCGAUGCUUGAUCGAUUGAUUUUUGUUUGUUUGCCAUUGAGAAUUUUAUUACUAAUCGGACAUUGUUCUGACCUUUGGGGUUUCUAUUUAGGAUUUAUUUUAGUUAAUAACCAACAACGAUGACCUUUUGUUGAAGGUCUAAUAUAUCUGUUUAUAAGUAUCGGUUCCGUUAAUCAUAAAGCAAACCUAUGGUGUCAGUACUAUUAUUAUUCCAUUGGAGGAAAGUAAUCAGAGAGUUUUUCAGGCUUGUCCAAGGGCCCACAGUUAAAAAGAGGCAGGGCUAGAUGCAAUGCAAGAGCCAGGUCUCUGGGGUCUGGGCUUUUUACUUGCCUUGACCCUGUAACUCAUCUUUGUGGAAUGAUUGCAGGAGGGAAUGAAUGAGUGAGUCAGUGAGGGCAGAAAGAAGACAGAAUGAGUCAGCUCCUGCCCUCGGAGGAACCCAAAGGGGGAGAUAAGCUGUGAAUGCAAAUAACCGGAACACAAAGUAAACAGUGAUCCCACCAGCAUUUUGGAAGCAGUCCACUUUCUAUUCCCUCCUAUUCAAAAAUGCUUAAUUCUUUCCAAUUCCUCCCUACCUAGAAACCAGGGAGCCAUACACUGGGGCAGGGGCAGUCUCCUUGGGUUUGAUGCAUUAAGUCACCCACUUGGAGAUCCCCUGUGGAGCCCAGCAGCCUG